GUACACUCCUGCGGGAGGCAGCAGUGGGGAAUAUUGCACAAUGGGCGCAAGCCUGAUGCAGCCAUGCCGCGUGUAUGAAGAAGGCCUUCGGGUUGUAAAGUACUUUCAGCGGGGAGGAAGGCGAUAAGGUUAAUAACCUUGUUGAUUGACGUUACCCGCAGAAGAAGCACCGGCUAACUCCGUGCCAGCAGCCGCGGUAAUACGGAGGGUGCAAGCGUUAAUCGGAAUUACUGGGCGUAAAGCGCACGCAGGCGGUCUGUCAAGUCGGAUGCGAAAUCCCCGGGCUCAACCUGGGAACUGCAUUCGAAACUGGCAGGCUAGAGUCUUGUAGAGGGGGGUAGAAUUCCAGGUGUAGCGGUGAAAUGCGUAGAGAUCUGGAGGAAUACCGGUGGCGAAGGCGGCCCCCUGGACAAAGACUGACGCUCAGGUGCGAAAGCGUGGGGAGCAAACAGGAUUAGAUACCCGGGUAGUCCCAUGA
rnacentral:rRNA from 1 species